CUACAGUCAAUUAAGCCAACAUUGCUCUUUUCCCCAUGGCGGCUGGGUAUGCAAUUGUUGCCAACAGCAGCCUCCCAGGUAGUGUAUGCAGCCUGCUGCUUGCAUGGAUUGGCCUAAGGCACCUUGGAGACAGCU
ensembl:snoRNA SNORA70 Small nucleolar RNA SNORA70